CAUUUCAUUUACACUGAAAACAAUCUUAUUUAAUUUAACAAAAACCUUCUAAUGAAAAAAUUCAUCAUAUCAUAUAAUUCAAUUUCAAUUAAAAUCUGAAAAGACUACAACUAUUUUAUAUAAGAAUUAUCAAAUUCCUUUAGUAUCAGGAAAUAAUUAAAAUAUAAUUUAAAUUAAAAUCUCGAAAUCAUAUGAUCUAUUAUUCAUAACAAUAUAUGUAAUAAUAUAUUAUUAUAAUAAAUAAUAGUAAUUAAACAUUAUACGAAUAUGAUGAUAUCUAGUUUUUUAAAAAGAAAUAAAAUCCAAUAAUAUUUUAUAUUAUAAUAUAUAAAAAUAAUAAAGUAAAUAUCAAACUUAAUAAAAGAAUAACAGUAUCUAUAUAGUUUAAAAACUUAACUUCUAAUAUAAUAUUAUUCUUCUAUUAAAAUAAUACUAUAAUUAUUAAAUAAUAUUAUUAUUAUUAGAUUUAUUAUAUAAAUUAAUAUAAUUCAACUAUAAUUUAAUGAAUGUUUAUCAAAAACAUCUCUAUAAGCUGUCAUUUAUAGUAAGAUCUGCUCACUGAUUUAUUAAAGAGCCGCAAUUUCGUGCUAAGGUAGCAUAAUCAUUCGUCUUUUAAUUGAAGACUAGAACAAAAGAUUUAACAUUUAAAUUUAUCUUAAUAAUUUAAAACUUAAACUUCUCUUAAAUGUAAAAAGACAUUUAUAUAAAAGAAAGACGACAAGACCCUAUUGAACUUUACUUUAGUUAAACUGGGGCAGUUAAUUAAUUAUUAUUUUAAUAAAAAUGUAUAUCUACCUAUCCAUUAAAAUUGAAUAAUCAAGUUACCAUAGGGAUAACAGCAUAAUUAUAUUCUAAAGUUCCCAUUCCAAAAAUAGAUUAUGACCUCGAUGUUGAAUUAAUAACCUAAUUAGAGCAAGAUUUAAUACAGGAAGUCUGUUCGACUUUUAAAAAAUUACAUGAUUUGAGUUCAGACCGGUGUAAGCCAGGUCGGUUUCUAUCUUCUAAUCAUUCUUAAUAGUACGAAAGGACCAUAAGAAUUAAUAUAAAUUAACUU
rnacentral:rRNA from 1 species